GCUUGCACCAAAUGAAACUAGAUACAAGCGAGCGGCGGACGGGUGAGUAACACGUGGGUAACCUGCCCAAGAGACUGGGAUAACACCUGGAAACAGAUGCUAAUACCGGAUAACAACACUAGACGCAUGUCUAGAGUUUAAAAGAUGGUUCUGCUAUCACUCUUGGAUGGACCUGCGGUGCAUUAGCUAGUUGGUAAGGUAACGGCUUACCAAGGCAAUGAUGCAUAGCCGAGUUGAGAGACUGAUCGGCCACAUUGGGACUGAGACACGGCCCAAACUCCUACGGGAGGCAGCAGUAGGGAAUCUUCCACAAUGGACGCAAGUCUGAUGGAGCAACGCCGCGUGAGUGAAGAAGGGUUUCGGCUCGUAAAGCUCUGUUGGUAGUGAAGAAAGAUAGAGGUAGUAACUGGCCUUUAUUUGACGGUAAUUACUUAGAAAGUCACGGCUAACUACGUGCCAGCAGCCGCGGUNAUACAAUUU
rnacentral:rRNA from 1 species